UCAGCCUCCUGGCCGCUAGGAUUAUACAGGUAUGUGCCAUUACGCCCAGCCAUAAUUUCUUACUUAAGGAUUUCUGUUUUAAUUUAAGCAUAAACCUAUAAAAAACAUCUCAUUUAAUGAAGAGCAUAGUAACAUUCCCAUUCAUCAGGAACCAAGGCAAGAGGUGGAAAUAAGAUAACUGAUUAGAGGUACACAGCACACACCUCCACAACAAAGGACCAAAACGGUGGGGAAUCAACACCUGUUUCUCUGUAGUGUUUGAAGCAUAUCAUCAGAUUGCAGUGGGGAUGUGGUAGAAAUGUUGCUGAGCAUGGAGAUACAUGGUGGCCUUAUAAAAAGGGAACUAAACACGGCACCUACUGCUCCCUGCCUCCAGAGAUCAACCCUGUACUAAGAGGGACCUGGCUCAGCAGGGAAGGGUUAAGCAGGAAGCCCCUGGCAGUCCCCACUUGUGUGUGUGACACCUGAAGGAUGUAGAGCUGGAGGGCUUUCACAGGCUCUGAGCCCACUUUGGGGAGCCACAUUGAGUUACCACGCCUUCCAAUCCUGAUGUACCACAGAGAUCUAAAGAUCACUCUAGUCUGGCAUGGUAGUGCCAUGACUGAGUCUUUUCCCCAACUCGGAUAGCAAGGCCAGUCUUCUGAGUACACAUAUCCCUGGGGUUGAGCUACACUCACCUAUUCUUUUGAAAUCUUAUCCCUUUGCCCUGUUUGGGAUAGAAUGUUCCAUCGAAACUCCCUUUGUGUGUCCCCUGUCCCCUUCUCCUGCUCUGCCUUUGGGUGUGGCCUUCCAAGAUGUCAGUCAACUACUGACAGCAGACAUCACAGAGCGAGACUCAACCCCUCCCCCAAAUCUGACCCCUUGCCUCAUUUGAAUGGCUCCUCCUCAAUAAAAGUGUCAGCAUGUGCUCGCUCGCUCGCUCUCUUUCUUUCUAAAGACCCCUAAGGUCAGAUGAGCCAUCACAGGACCCAAAGCAAAAGGUAUCUCUGUCUCUUAUAUGAUUAUUUCAUGCAGCCCAGUUCACCUGGAGUGACUCUGAAUGUUAAGUUGUGGAAUGGAAUAGGGGUGCUGCUAGACUACCACACUGCUAUACUGUGGGAGAAAGAGGCCAGCCCACAUUGUGUCUUCCCCCACUCAUCUUGAGACCCCAAGAGAUCCCCAAGAGAUCCUCAAGAAGCACCUGGGACCUCCUUGAGUGACUUGGCCUGAAGAAGACCCCAGAAAACAGACAGACUCACCCAUGCACCCUAAGCAGCAAGCAGCCUUGCCCAUUCACCUGUGCCGGAAUGAGAUGGUGCCCUGUCAACUUUCAUAGGUACACUACACAGAUAGAAGAAUAGGGAUGAUAAAAGAUAUCUCCACUGCAGCUGAAGUCCUACUUGGCAUGGUGAGGAGAGAACUUGUCUCCUUUUAUAACCAGGUAAUGAGAAGUUCUACUUAUUUAUCUUCAUUUGAGUUAUUUAAUGAUGCACAUCUAUGUUUUAAAUACUCAACCUGUAUACUCCAUACCCUUCUCCAUACUGUCCCUGAAGUCCUCAUAGCCAAAUCCAUUGGGGGUACUUCUUAGUGUAUCUUAAUAAUUUUUCAUGCUUAACAACAGGUUUAUUCCAUAGUAAAAGGUGAAUAAAUUCUGAGUAAAAAGAUGUGUAUUUUCUUAGCAUUUUUGUGAUAAAAAUUUAAUGCUUUCUAAAAAGAAAGCAUUUUUAAAAUAUAUAUAUAUAUAUAAACCAAUAUUAUCUGUAAAAUGCCCAAACUGGAAAGAAUCUCAGUGUUCAUCAACAGAUGAAUGGCUAAGAAAUGAUGGCACAUCAGCAUAGCACCAGAGUGUACAGCAGAAAUGAAGAACACUCUACAAUCAUGCAACAGUGAGGACAAAUCCAGACACCCUGGUGAGUAAACAAAGUCAGACAUAAUACAAAAUAUACUGUAUGAUUUCAUUUUUAUAAAGUAAAAAGUAAGCAAACUAAUCUAUGGUGUUGUUAAAGUCCAAAGAGUAGUUAACUGUAGAGUGUAGGAAUGACUGCAAGGAGUGAGGGGAGGCUGUAGGAUUCCAGGAAAGUUCUAUUUCUGAGUCUGUUGACAAGAUGGGUGUAAUUACAUUCUUAAAAUUCAAUAAACUGUUCACUAAUGA